UAUUAUAAUUAAUGUUGAAUUAUUACUUGGGUAGUAAUAGAUGUUCUUGAAACUCAAAGGAUUUGGCGGUAUUUUAGUCCUUUCAGGGGAACUUAUUAUUUAAUUGAUAAUACACAAUUUGUUUUACUUAAUUAGGUUAUUAGUUUGUAUACCGCCGUCAUAAGAUUAUUUUUAUUUUAAGAAUAAAUUUUCAUGUAUUUUUAAUAGAGGAUAUGUCAGGUCAAGGUGCAGCUUAUGAUUAAGGUAUAAAUGAGUUACAAUAAUUUUAAUUUAUUACGAAUAAUUAUUAUAAGUUUAGUUUGAAGGUGGAUUUGAUUGUAAAUUUAUUUUUGAUUUUUAUAUUGAUUUGGGCUCUAAAAUGUGUACAUAUCGCCCGUCGCUCUCUUAUUUUUAUAUAUGAG
rnacentral:rRNA from 1 species